rnacentral:tRNA from 1 species
GAGGGCAUAGCUCAGUGGUACAGCGUGUGCUUAGCACGCAUGAGGUCCUGGGUUCAAUCCCCAGGGCCUCCA